AUUCCUUUGGGGACAUCCGAAAAAGUUGGAAUAAUAUAGAGAAGAUUAGCAUAAUCCCUGCGCAAGAAUGACAUGCACAAAUUGAGAAAAUAGUCCAAAUUUU